GAUGAAGAACGCAGCGAAAUGCGAUAAGUAGUGUGAAUUGCAGAAUUCAGUGAAUCAUCGAAUCUUUGAACGCACAUUGCGCCCCUUGGUAUUCCAUGGGGCAUGCCUGUUCGAGCGUCAUUUGUACCUUCAAGCUUUGCUUGGUGUUGGGUGUUUGUCCAUUCUCUUGCAGAGGGACUCGCCUUAAAGUAAUUGGCAGCCAGUGUUUUGGCUUUGAAGCGCAGCACAAGUCGCGAUUCAACGCUAUACGCCAGCUUCCACAAGCCUUUUUCACUUUUGACCUCGGAUCAGGUAGGGAUACCCGCUGAACUUAAGCAUAUCAAAAGCGGAGGA
rnacentral:misc_RNA from 1 species